UGGGGAAUAUUGCACAAUGGGCGCAAGCCUGAUGCAGCCAUGCCGCGUGUAUGAAGAAGGCCUUCGGGUUGUAAAGUACUUUCAGCGGGGAGGAAGGUGUUGCGGUUAAUAACCGCAGCAAUUGACGUUACCCGCAGAAGAAGCACCGGCUAACUCCGUGCCAGCAGCCGCGGUAAUACGGAGGGUGCAAGCGUUAAUCGGAAUUACUGGGCGUAAAGCGCACGCAGGCGGUCUGUCAAGUCGGAUGUGAAAUCCCCGGGCUCAACCUGGGAACUGCAUUCGAAACUGGCAGGCUAGAGUCUUGUAGAGNGGGGUAGAAUUUCAGGUGUAGCGGUGAAAUGCGUAGAGAUCUGGAGGAAUACCGGUGGCGAAGGCGGCCCCCUGGACAAAGACUGACGCUCAGGUGCGAAAGCGUGGGGAGCAAACA
rnacentral:rRNA from 1 species